rnacentral:rRNA from 1 species
UACGAAGGGGGCUAGCGUUGCUCGGAAUUACUGGGCGUAAAGCGCACGUAGGCGGUCUUUUAAGUCGGUGGUGAAAUCCUGGAGCUCAACUCCAGAACUGCCUUCGAUACUGGAAGACUUGAGUCCGGGAGAGGUGAGUGGAACUGCGAGUGUAGAGGUGAAAUUCGUAGAGACCCGGAGGAACACCAGUGGCGAAGGCGGCUUCCUGGUCUGCGACUGACGCUGUGGCGCGAAAGCUAGGGGAGCAAACGGG